rnacentral:rRNA from 1 species
GAUGAACGCUAGCGGCAGGCCUAAUACAUGCAAGUCGGACGGGAUUGAGAAGCUUGCUUUUAAUGAGAGUGGCGCACGGGUGCGUAACACGUAUGUAACCUACCCAUAUCAGGGGGAUAGCCUCUCGCAAGAGAGAUUAAGACCGCAUAACAUUAUUGAAUGGCAUCAUUUAAUAAUCAAAUAUUUAUAGGAUAUGGAUGGGCAUGCGGAACAUUAGCUAGUUGGUAAGGUAACGGCUUACCAAGGCUACGAUGUUUAGGGGAUCUGAGAGGGUGACCCCCCACACUGGUACUGGGACACGGACCAGACUCCUACGGGAGGCAGCAGUAAGGAAUAUUGGUAAAUGGACGGAAGUCUGAACCAGCCAUGCCGCGUGCAGGAAGACGGCCCUAUGGGUUGUAAACUGCUUUUGCAGGGGAAUAAACCUCGAUACGUGUAUCGAGCUGAAUGUACUCUGAGAAUAAGGAUCGGCUAACUCCGUGCCAGCAGCCGCCGUAA